CAGAAGAUAGUUAAGUAUAAUAUUAGUUUUGGAUACUAAAGAUAGAGAUUCUUCUUCUGA
rnacentral:tRNA from 1 species